AUCCAUGCUGUGCUGUGAAGCAGCCGUGGGGGCCAACCCAAGCCUGUGUUAGAAUCACUCCGCAACCCCACACCUCGUGACGGAGGAUGCCUGCUGGACAGACCCACAACAGAAGAUAGAGGGAAGUCUGAAUGUAAAGGGAAGAAGAGAAGUGAGGGGUGUGCAGAGUCAAGAGGACUUUUCAAGGCUUCUUCCUGUCACCUUGUACGGUGGGGAGACCGGGUGCACCAGAGUGAGGAGAGCAAAGGGAAUAACAUCAAGGGUGGAGGAGUGAGCAGUGAAGAAAAACAAGGACCCUUGUCACAGCGUCAAAGGAGAGGAUGAGAGCCUAAAGUGAGUGUCUCCCGCUCCCAGAAGGGCCCCUGCAGCGCCCCAACCUGCUUGUCUGCCAUGCGACCGACUUCUAUCUGGGCAACUUUCAAGUCCGCUGGUUUCUGAAUGGACAGGAGGAAACAGCUGGGAUUGUGUCCACCAACAUGACCCAUAAUGGAGAUUGGACGUUCCAGAUUCUGGUGAUGCUGAAAUUACCCCCAAGCGGGGAGACACCCACACCUGCCACGUGGAGCACUCCAGCCUGGACAGUCCUGUCACCAUGGAGUAGCAUAAUCCUGAUAACCAUCUAGACACCACAUUCUGAAGAGCAGAGGACUCUGUUGGUCUUUGGUCCACUCAUCCUGUCUUAUGUGUCUAUAUACUGGGGUCAUAUCUACCCCCAUCUUUUUCCUAUAAAAGCUCCUGGGAAUAGUUCAGAGCUGGGGACAAUGAAGCCUUGCCUGUCUCUGGCCUGGGGGAUGCUAAGGAUUCAGAGAUCUCUGCCCCUGUCAGAAAAUCUAGGAAACUCAGACACCUUCUGCAUUGCCCUCACACAUGGGAACUCUAUUCUUCCUUCAGCCUUUCAGCCUAUUCUGAGUUAUUUUGAGAGGCAACUACCAGAAUCAACAUGUGUGCCAUUUUUGAAGUCACACCCUAAGUUCCAGAACUCACGGUCCUUUCUAAACUUCCUCUUUCUCAAAGGUGUCUAUCUCUCACUGUCCUCAUGCUGGUAUUCUGCAUCAGGCUCCAGACUCUCAGACAGUAACCUGAGGUGGGUGUGGCAGGUGGAGAUGAGACUGACCGUGGGGUCUGUUCUUCCCAGAGACACAGUCUGAUUCUGCCUGGAGAAAGAUGCUGGCUGGAAUCCUUGGCUUUGUGCUUCGGUUCAUCUUCCUUGUAGUGGGCAUCUCUGUGCACAUGAGGAGCAAGAAAGGUCAGAAAGCCUGAGAGGUGGCUGAGGUUUGCCUUUUCCCCGACUAACUCACCCAUCUUCCGUGAUAAGGGACUGACACAGGAAAGCAAUUCCCGAGAGUUCUAGAGGCCACUGAAAUCAGAUUGUCCGGGAACAAAGACAGCCUGUAGGGAGAGAAGAAUUCCCAGGCUGGAAUUUUGUCCCAUCCAGAUGCAUGAGGUCUCCAGGUGCUCAGGCUCAUGCCUGAGUUCACUUAGUGAUGGAGUCGUCUUCCAGCAGCCCCUGCCUUAAUUCCCAAUGACAGGAUCAUGGCAAUGGAGAUGGGAUGGAGAAGUUGAUCUAAUUGUCUAAGGUGUUUUUAAUGGCUAAAUACACCCCCUUUCCCCCUUUCAUUUUAGUUCAAUGAAGAUUUUUAAGUACAGGUAGUAUUCCUGCUUUGUUUUUCUUGAGGGGAUUGCAAACAAAUGUAAGUCCUUUCGUUGCAUUGUGACUCUGAGGCACCUGCUGGGGAAGAGAGUCUCGGGCUGAACUUCUUCAACCUCAGCCCUUGGGUUCCUGAUCUGACCAGAAAGACUAUAUGUGCUUUGCAACAAGUAUGUUUCUGUUUCUUCAGUCCCAGAGGCUGGCUCUGGGAUAGACCCUCAACCUCCCAAGAGGAUGCUACUGCCAAGUACUUGCUCUGAAACUACUUCCUAGAGUUCUUCUCUGUGAUUCCAUGCACAGUUUCUCUCAUGGGGCCUCCAACCAAGUUCCCUUCUCCUUAGCUCAAUAAUUAAUAAAAUCCAGUGUCAUUGUCUCUUUUCUCUUAAGAACAUGAACUAAGUCAC
ensembl:lncRNA